AUUGAACGCUGGCGGCAGGCUUAACACAUGCAAGUCGAGCGGGGAAGGGUAGCUUGCUACCUAACCUAGCGGCGGACGGGUGAGUAAUGCUUAGGAAUCUGCCAUUUAGUGGGGGACAACAUUCCGAAAGGAAUGCUAAUACCGCAUACGUCCUACGGGAGAAAGCAGGGGAUCUUCGGACCUUGCGCUAAAUGAUGAGCCUAAGUCGGAUUAGCGAGUUGGUGGGGUAAAGGCCUACCAAGGCGACGAUCUGUAGCGGGUCUGAGAGGAUGAUCCGCCACACUGGGACUGAGACACGGCCCAGACUCCUACGGGAGGCAGCAGUGGGGAAUAUUGGACAAUGGGCGGAAGCCUGAUCCAGCCAUGCCGCGUGUGUGAAGAAGGCCUUAUGGUUGUAAAGCACUUUAAGCGAGGAGGAGGCUACUCUAGUUAAUACCUAGGGAUAGUGGACGUUACUCGCAGAAUAAGCACCGGCUAACUCUGUGCCAGCCGCCGCGGUAA
rnacentral:rRNA from 1 species